ensembl:lncRNA
UCUCUUUCUGGAGGCUUCUCCUUUGUGGAGCUUUUUUUGUCAUGAGUCUGACUCUUCAGUUAUAGGCUCUCAGCAGCUGUGGAGCUUCACUGAGGCAAUCAAAACCCAGCGGUUAAAGCUAAUUACCAGUGCUGUUGAUGGUGCGUGAACCAGAGGAGGGCUGGCUGCUUUUCCCAGGGCUGCACAGCUUCUACACUGCUAGCGGAGUAGAAAAUACAAAAACAAGACAGCCCUGGAAGGAUGAGGAGGAAGCUUCCCAUUUCCAGGUGCAAGAAGUGGUCACUCCUGAGGACUAAGCGGGAAGUUGCAUCUGGGAGGAACUUACAACACCAGCUUCCUUGGGAGUAUUUUGAUGUUUUCACUGCCUGCCAAAAUCAGGAAGUAUAAAAUGCAGAGAAAACUUCUUUUUUUUAAAAAUGUAUUUUAUAAAAAUGCAUUUUACAGCCAGAUACCUGAUGAAGCUGGGAACAGGUUAUUCCGUUGUCUGCUACUCUAAAUUUAAGUGUAAGAAUCUUGUGGCACAGUUGUGAUGACGUUGACGCCUGUAAACGUUCUGACUGCAUUAGGGGAUGAUCAUAGAAUCACAGAAUCAUCAAAUCAUUCGAGUUGGAAGGGACCCUUAAAGGUCAGUCAGUCCAACUCCUCUACAGUGAGCAGGGACACCUACAGCUAGAUGAGGUUGCUCAGAGCCUGGUCUUAUGCUACGGCCUCGUGUGAUCAUGUAUGAAAAUACUGGGAGCAUGAGUAGAUGAAGCACAUUUCAUGAGGACAGUGAUUCUCAGCUGUGCCAUUCCUACACUGCCCCAGUGCUGGAAAGGACCCAUGUUCAGGUAAAAUAAGUAACACUGGGAAGAUUCAGGCCCAUCGCUUGAAGACCAUUGCAAUGUUGAGGCACAGAAGGAUGGAUUACAGAUUGUUCAGCCUGAAUUCCAUCCCAAAAAUCUGUUUAAUCCCCCUUUUAAUACUUGUGUGAGUGCCAAAAAUGUCUUUUAUUUGCUCCAGCAACAGCAGCCGGUUAGCUAGAUGCUAUCAGCUACUUCUUCAUUCAGUUGUCCUCUUCGUACUGAUAAAUACCACAGAAGACAGCGGAGAGAAACCUUAAGCCACAAACUUAUCCUGUGUAUAAUAGGAUGCACCUUGAAACAAUUUUGAUGUCUCCAUUGAAAUCAGCUUAGGUUAAGCCUACAUAAAUAGUGUCAAAGGGGAACACACCCAGAACGCUCUGGGAGAUCAUGAUAAACACUCCUGAUGCUUUGCAGCUGUGCUCAUCAUCUGUGCAUUACACAAUAAAAUUUUAC